GAAUAUAGGUAUAGUCUUUGCAGCGAACAGUUUGAACAAGUGAGUGCCUUGAAGAGUGCUUCACCUGCCUCCUCUCGAAACGUUGCCACCAGUUUUACUAGCUUAUUGCAAAUGCCAUUCUGAAAUGCCUGUUCCCACCCUUCCUUGCCAAUGUGGUUAUCUUCGAUGACUAACUCUUCCACCUUGCACUCCUGACUUGCCAGAUCCCUACUCAAUUUCCCAAAUCCUUCCACUGUCAUCCUGUUCCCCAGCAAUUGGAGACGUUUCAAGUUGUUUCCUGGUUUCCUAAGGAGUUGGCUAAGGAGAGUCUCUGGGUUCCCAACCUUGUCCAACCAGAGCUCUGUCAAGCAGUCGAGCUGAGCAAAGGCCAACUCAAGCUCCUGAGGUGGUGUGAGGAUGUCUUUGCCUCGCCAAUCGAAACGUAGCCCUUUCAAGACCUUGAAUUCCUCUGUCAUGAGAAGCUUUGCAAACCUCUGCACCUCAAUCUGCCAAAUAUCCUGUCCCUGCUGAGGAGGAGCAAUGCCCUCUGCCACCCUUUGCAUUCGAUCACUGGGAAUGCCCAACCUACAAGCAACCCUGGCAGCGAACUGGAUGAAUCUGAUGUCGAGCUGUGGUACCAAAGCGGCCUUGAGAAUGUCAAUGUGAGCAGCAGCAGCAGCAGCAGACGAACUGCCAUCACCAGGAGCAUCUCCCACAUCCAGAGCCCCGUCUAAACUGGGUGGAUUUGAAAUGCACCAGUUGAGCACACCAAUCAGAUCCUCCUCUGUGCCUCCAAACCCCUCAACGGUAGCACUCACCUCAUCAACAAACUCACCUUUGGAUGCGUCAAGCGCCUCCAGCCUCCAGAUCUUCCCACAAUGAAACACAAUCGCAUUGAAGUGCCGCUUGUUGUCCCGCUUCGCUGCGAGAGCCUCCUUGAUCUCCUUGACAGACAAACAGGGGAUCCACACUCGUCGCUCCUCCUCCAUGGAAGUUUGCCCUGGAUCGAAGGGUAUUUACAGGUAUUCCCAGAGGUAUGGUGAGUCCUUUCUUCACACCUUGUCCGACGUUGCAAAGUGAGAGUUUUCGACCAUCUUGGGGUAACUGCCAGACUCCAGUCACCUAAUAACAUUCUCUAUUUAUAGUAUUUAUUUUGAGAAUGUAGUAUUAACUUAUCUCCAACAUUUCAAAUGCAACCACUUAUUCUAUUAUUCUUGUGAUCACUACUUUUUGUUGAUAUCUUGGCUUUCAAGGACAAUUAAUGAAUCUCAAGUGUUAUUUGGUUUAGAUAUUCUAAGGUGCUAUUCUCACUCUUAUUACUUUUGGAGCAUAAAAUCCAAAUAUUCCUUCUCUUGCUUUUUUUUCUUUGUAAUACAAACAUUGAAUCUAGAAUUAAGUGGUCAUUUGGUAAAUACUUAGUACCACAAGGCAUCCAUAAAUGUUUCUAUGUUGGAUAUGAAAAUGAAAUACAAUCCAUUGUUGAUAUUUAAGGACAAGCUAUCAAUUUUACACAAGGUUACUAACAACUUUGGUGAUAUAGUAAAAACCUCUUGCGAGUGAGAUUUGUAGAGUGUAAGUUUUGUAAAUGAUGCACAGCUAAAAAUAAUUAUAAGAAAAGCUACAAUUUUUUGAUACACGUGGCAGCGGUCAUAUGGAUUCCUUUUGUAUUUGGAUUGUCUUACUUAACUUAUUUGUACAAGCACAAACAAAGUUCUCCUUCAAAAGCAAAAGAGGAAACUCUUGAGAUUGUCCAACUGUAAAGAGUAACAAAAAUUAAUCCAAUCACUUACAAAAUGAACUAUAAAUUUAUAAUAACAUUUUGCCCAAUCUCAACAAAACCAUUAAUAAAUCAAAGCUUUAGCCAAAUGUUCAUCUUUGCUUGAUAAUCUAUCUCCACUCAAUCAAUACAUAAAGCCCUAAGUUGGACAAUGUAUUUUUUAUCGAGCAGGUCCUCUUUAAUAAGUUCCAUAUAUAAAUAAUAUAGUGACUUACCCUUUUUUCUUUUGUAAGUUAUUGUCUACAAAGAGUUUAUUUCAAAUUCACUUAAAUCUUUCUCUUGAGAAAUUACUUAGCUUGGCAUAAAAUCUUAGCAACCUAAUACUAAAUACUAGCCCAAAAAUUUGAAAAAUCAUAUAAACCAGUAUAUUAGUGAUAAUUUGAAGCUUUUUCUUACCAAUUUACAAGGUAUAAUAAAUGAUUGAGAUGUUGGUUCUCUAGACAAGGAUGAGAUAAAGAUUGGGAGUGAGCUUAGGCAAACAUCUCUAAACCAAACUUCUUCAUUUAGCUCAUAAACUUGGUUGAGUUUGCAAAGGUUUCAAUAAAGUUUAUUUUUGAAUUUUUGCAUGUUAUAAAUGCUUAUCAAGGCAAUGUAAAUAGCAGUAUACUAUAAUUAUGGCUUGUCAUUUUUGUUAUGGUGGUGGUGAUCGCAACCAUCACCAUGCUUUCGGCAUCUUUAUAAAUGAUUAAUUUUUUUUUUACUUUAGGAUCAUCUAAAGGAGUCUCACUCAUAAUCUCUAUAGGCCCUGAUAUUAAUUUGGGUGUUUGCUAACUUUAAAAUGUGUUCUUGUAACCACAUCAACUUUGUACUUAGUUUAAAUGCUCUAUGUGUCCAGUUCCACUUUUGGAUACCCAAAUGGCUAAAUAACCUUUUAUGAAGUCCAAAUUUAAAAACUUAUAUUUGGUAUUAGAGAAGUCUAAGGUGUGACUCUAUUAAUUGAUUAAAGAAAUCACACCACAUGUUAAGAUUGAUAUUUAUUAAGUUUACUUUACUCCAAUUUCAACUCGAGGGGUAAGGUGUUAAAAGAGCGGGACUCUUAGAAGAGUUGCAACUUUCAACUUCCAUUUACGAAGGCGUGAACUUCCAAAAAAGCAUGAUGGAUUAUAAACAACCAAAGAUAAUAACUUAAAAAAUUAUUAAUAUUGUUUUAAAUAUAGAAAUGUACCCUUUGUUCCAAUUAGUUAUAAGUUUUGGGUUAUUUGAGAUUAAGCAUCUUUAAAUAGUAUUGGGUUAGAUGACCUUUUAGAAAGCCCAAAUUCAGGAGAUUAUAGUGCCAUAAAUAAUAUAAGUUAAUAUUUGUAAAUAACCUAGCAAGAAAGAAAACAAUUUAAAAUUAAACAACCUUUCAAAAAUGAAUAUUUACUAGAAUUUUCAAAAUAAGUAUUUAGAAAGCAUUUUCAUUAGAGCUACUCUCAAGUAACACUUGAUGUGUUGCAAAUGAUUUCAUAGUAAAAAAUAUCUUUAUACUUCAUUUUUAAAAUAAAUAUAAAUGGUGUUUAAUACAUAUUUUGUAUUUUGUAAAAAGUGUCUACAAACACUCAAAAACUUUUUUUUGUUAAAUUAUUGCUUACAAUAGUUAAAGCACAAUACAGUGUUUAGUUUUAUGGGAUGACAUAUAUAUAUAAUUGAGGAGAGUAAACAAAUUUCAAGAUGAAGCUUGAUUAGCUUGCAAUUGGGAUUUUGUAGCGCUUUGCCCAACCAUCCACCACCAUCACCUGGAUAAAGUCUAACGCGGAGUUCCUCCAAGCCACACUUAGCGCUGCUCAGGGCCUCACCCAGGCCCGUUGCAUUGCUCAGGUCCUCACUUCGGCAAUCUAAAACUGACAGGCUGGUGCCCUCCUGAAGAGCCUUGCAUACCCAUGGCAACACUGCAGGAUCCCGAUAUAGGCCUAGUCUUUGCAGCGAACAGCUUGGACUCGUGAGUGCCUUGAAGAGUGCUUCACCUGCCCCCUCUGGAAACGAUGCCCUCAGUUUUACUAGCUUAUUGCAAAUGCCAUUCUGAAAUGCCUGUUCCCACCCUUCCUUGGCAAUGCCCUCAUCCAGGAUGGCUAACUCUUCCACCUUGCACUCCUGACUUGCCAGAUCCCUACUCAAUUUCCCAAAUCCUUCCACUGUCAUCCUGUUCCCCACCAACCUGUUCGCCAGCAAUUCGAGACGUUUCAAGUUGUUUCCUGCUUUCCUAAGGAGUUGGCUAAGGAGAGUCUCUGGGUUCCCAACAUUGCGCAACCAGAGCUCUGUCAAGCAGUCGAGCUGAGCAAAGGCCAUCUCAAGCUCCUGAGGUGGUGUGAGGAUGUCUUUGCCUUCCCAAUAGAAAGCUAGCCCUUUCAAGACCUUGAAUUCCUCUAUCAUCAGAAGCUUUGCAAACCUC
rnacentral:lncRNA from 1 species